rnacentral:rRNA from 1 species
UACGUAGGUGGCGAGCGUUGUCCGGAUUUACUGGGUGUAAAGGGCGUGUAGGCGGACUGACAAGUCAGAUGUGAAAUCCCGCGGCUUAACUGCGGGACUGCAUUUGAAACUGUUGGUCUUGAGUACUGGAGAGGAAAGCGGAAUUCCCGGUGUAGCGGUGGAAUGCGUAGAUAUCGGGAGGAAUACCAGUGGCGAAGGCGGCUUUCUGGACAGCAACUGACGCUGAGGCGCGAAAGCGUGGGGAG